UCCCAAGCUGGCUGGUGUCUCAGGCUCUGGCAGGAGCAAUAGGUGGCUGCCAGCAGCAAUGAGGGCAUAACUUCUCAGGUUCAAGUACUGCAGAGAGGGAAGAAGGUCUCUGCGUGGCAGCUCCUCAAACAACUGAACUGAGUCACGGCAGCAGAUAUUCAUGAAGAUGCCGUGUCAGGGACUGUGAAAAGCUGACCAGGGCCCCGUGGAGCCACAGCCGGCAGAGGGAGACAGACAAGCCAACAGGACCUUCCAUCCCAGAGUGGUUGUGGAAGGCAAAGAAGAGGGGUGAUCCCUGCCCCUGAGGACCUACUGUGUGCCAGGCCCUCUGCACGGCUCAUCUCAUGUGAUUGCCCCUCCUGGAGGUGGGCUCUGUCUCAUUUCAUGAGGGCUCAGGUGGUGAGGCCAGGCAAGUUCAUUAACUUGCUCAAGGCCAGAAACCAGGAAUCUGGACCAGGUCAGCCUGGCUUCAAGCCGGGGCUCUCUGCUGUGCGUGGCCAUGCCCGGCUCAGCGCCUCACACGCAGUAGGUGCUCAGGAAACAUGGCAUAAACCUUUCCUCCUUCCCUCAUCUGUGCUCUCCCCUGCAGGGCAGCCCUGCUCCGGGCUGCAUUUCACAGGCCCCCCCAUUCAGAGUAGCUGACAUGGUUGGAGAUGGGGGUGCAGGGAGGGGGGAAGCGAGCUAUCGCUCAGUAGCCAGAAUGUCAGUUGUGCAAGGUGAGAACAUUCUUAAGGUCUGUUACACAAUGAUGUGCAUGUAGUUAAUUCUACUGUUUUGUACGCAUAAGCACGUUACCAUGGUGAAUUUUAUGCUGUGUAUUUUUUUUUAACCACAAUAAAAA